GGGAAUGUACUACUACCUGACUUUUAAUCAGAGGGUCCUGGGUUCGAGUCCCAGCGCGCUCA
rnacentral:tRNA from 1 species